UUUAUAGUUCGUUCUUAUGUUGUACUGUUAUACCACUGUCCCAGGUUAGGGGGAGGGUUGGGAUCCCGCUAACAUGUUUAACCCCGCCACAUUAUUUAUGUAUGUGCCUGUUCCAAGUCAGGAGCCUGUAAUUCAGUGGUUGUCGUUUGUUUAUGUGUUACAUAUUUGUUUUUCGUUCAUUUUUUUACAUAAAUGAGGCCGUUAGUUUUCUCGUUUGAAUUGUUUUACAUUGUCUUAUCG
rnacentral:lncRNA from 1 species